AGGAUGAACGCUGGCGGCGUGCCUAAUACAUGCAAAGUCGAACGAGGUGCCUUUGUAGCAAUACGAGGGGUAUCCUAGUGGCGAAACGGGGUGAGUAAACGCGUUGGUGACCCUGCCCCUGAAAGUGUGGGAUAACAGUUCGAAAAGGAUUGCUAAUACCGCAUACCGUCAUCGGGUUUAGAAGCCGAUGUCGAAAAGCAGUAAUGCGCUUUUAGGAGGGACCUGCGUCCCCAUCAGCUAGUUGGUAGGGUAACGGCCUACCAAGGCGACGACGGGUAGGGGACCUGAGAGGGUGACCCCCCCACAAUGGAACUGAAACACGGUCCAUACACCUACGGGUGGCAGCAGUAGGGAAUAUUGCACAAUGGGCGAAAGCCUGAUGCAGCAACGCCGCGUGUGCGAAGAAGGCCUUCGGGUCGUAAAGCACUUUUCUGAGAGAUGAGAAAGGACAGUAUCUCAGGAAUAAGUCUCGGCUAACUACGUG
rnacentral:rRNA from 1 species